rnacentral:rRNA from 1 species
GUGAGUAACACGUGGGUAACCUGCCUCACAGCUGGGGAUAACAUCGAGAAAUCGAUGCUAAUACCGAAUGUGCUGAACAUCAUAAGAUGUUCAAGUGAAAGACGGUUUCGCUGUCACUGUGAGAUGGACCCGCGCUGGAUUAGCUAGUUGGUAAGGUAAUGGCUUACCAAGGCGACGAUCCAUAGCCGACCUGAGAGGGUGAUCGGCCACAUUGGGACUGAGACACGGCCCAAACUCCUACGGGAGGCAGCAGUAGGGAAUCUUCGGCAAUGGACGAAAGUCUGACCGAGCAACGCCGCGUGAGCGAAGAAGGCCUUCGGGUCGUAAAGCUCUGUUGUGAGAAGAACAUGGGUGAGAGUAACUGUUCACCCCUUGACGGUAUCUAACAGAAAGCCACGGCUAACUACGUGCCAGCAGCCGCGGUAA